GCCCGAGUUGUCUAAUGGUUAUGACGUUGCUUUCCGGCCUUGGCUGCUUAACCGUUGUCUAAUGGUGGUAGGCAGAGGUUGCGGGUUCGAAUCCCGUCUCGGGUU
rfam:Schizophyllum commune H4-8 unplaced genomic scaffold SCHCOscaffold_12, whole genome shotgun sequence.